AGGAGAAUGAGGUGGCAAGGGUAAGGAGUGCCCUGUUAGGGUGAAGGAGAAUGAGGUGGCAAGGGUAAGGAGUGCCCUGUUAGGGUGAAGGAGAAUGAGGUGGGCUAAGGGUAAGGA